UCAGAAUGCAUGCAGUUCUGUUUCCUGCCCUUCAAAGGAGUGCCAGGCUGGAGAAACUGUCAAGACCAAAGUGAAUCCACUGGACUCCUGCUGCCCCAUCACAUACUGUGAAUGUGAAAACUGCCCUAAUAUUCCUCAAUGCAGUCGUGAUGAAAAACUGGUGACUGUUUCUGCUGAAGGAACAUGCUGUCCUAAACUGAAGUGUGUGGUAAAGGCAGACGAAUGUGAUGUUCAAUACAGAACUGAGAAGAUCUGGAAUGGGAACUGCGUUGCGACAUUGGAGCUACCCUACUGCUCCGGAUUCUGUCUCUCGACUCACUUCUACAGCCCCAGCGAGGGGCGGCUGGUGUCCAGGUGUAGAUGCUGUGGGAUCGGAGAGACUGCAGACCUGCCAGUGCAGACAGUGUGUCCUGACAGCAGCUCCACCCCUGUGAUCAUCACCGUGCCCAGGACCUGCUCCUGCAAGCCCUGCGGAUAACCCAGCGGACUACAGCUCCCAGCCUGCAGGGGCCCGGGGGGGGGGG